UUAAAUUGAAGAGUUUGAUCAUGGCUCAGAUUGAACGCUGGCGGCAGGCCUAACACAUGCAAGUCGAACGGUAACAGAAAGCAGCUUGCUGCUUUGCUGACGAGUGGCGGACGGGGGAGUAAUGUCUGGGAAACUGCCUGAUGGAGGGGGAUAACUACUGGAAACGGUAGCUAAUACCGCAUAACGUCGCAAGACCAAAGAGGGGGACCUUCGGGCCUCUUGCCAUCGGAUGUGCCCAGAUGGGAUUAGCUUGUUGGUGGGGUAACGGCUCACCAAGGCGACGAUCCCUAGCUGGUCUGAGAGGAUGACCAGCCACACUGGAACUGAGACACGGUCCAGACUCCUACGGGAGGCAGCAGUGGGGAAUAUUGCACAAUGGGCGCAAGCCUGAUGCAGCCAUGCCGCGUGUAUGAAGAAGGCCUUCGGGUUGUAAAGUACUUUCAGCGGGGAGGAAGGGAGUAAAGUUAAUACCUUUGCUCAUUGACGUUACCCGCAG
rnacentral:rRNA from 1 species